AACGAACGCUGGCGGCAUGCUUAACACAUGCAAGUCGAACGAGACCUCCGGGCCUAGGGGCGCACCGGUGCGUAACGCGUGGGAACCUGCCCUUAGGUACGGUAUACCUCCCCGUGAGGGAUGCUAAUAACGCUUAAUCUCUUCGGACAAAAGAUUUCUCGCCUUUGGAUGGGCGCUCGUUGGUUUCGCUGGUUGGUAGUGGAAUAGCCUAUCAAGGGGAUGAUCCAUGGCUGGUGUGAGAGGAGGCUCAGCCACGCUGGGACUAAGACACGGACCAGCCGCCUACGCAACGGAGCAGUAGGGUAUAUUAGGGGAUGAGCGAAAGCCUGAUCAAGCCAUGCCGCGUAAGUGAUGAAGGCCGUAGGAUUGUAAAGCUCUUUUAGCCGGGAUGUUAAUGACAGUACCGGGAAAAUAAGCACCGGCUAACUACGUG
rnacentral:rRNA from 1 species